AGUAAGCACCGCAAUUCCCCACAAACUCUAAGCUAGCUGUAAACCUGUAUACGAUAAAUAAAAUUGAAUAAAACACCGAAACGUGAGUUCACUAGAAUGGAAUCCUUAAUUUGUUUUAAAUGAAGAAAUUUAGUGCCUGUUCGGAAACUAGGUAUCAGUAAAAAGGGCGAAUUUGAAUUGAAGUUUUAUAUCUCAACUGUGAAUGACAAAUAUGGAUAUGUGUAUAUUGAUCGAGCUCGCUAUUCAUUUUCACUGUAGUGAACCCGGUUCUUACAAUGUCCACACAGGACUCAAAUAACUAAACUAACUGCAAGUCCUAGUUUUGUAAAACAGAUUCAUUCCAGUCCACCUUCAGACAAAACGGCUAUAUCUCAUAUAAGAUAUUUAAUUCGUUAUAUCAGAAAGGGUGUUACGAAUACGGACCAUGAUAGCUUACAAUAAGUAUAUGCUUUAAAGUGGGUGUGAUGAUUAAGUAUGUCAUCUGCAAAGCGUACGUAAACUUGAGUACCGACUUUAGUAAGGAUGUAUUACUUCCUUCGACUAUGAUGUGCACCGCCACGCAGGUUCUUAGAAAAACCUUACGCGGCUUCUCACCAGGGCUCUGUCGCAGCUUCUCAUCUCUUUUAUGGAUUUGGGCGCCUUCAUAUUAUCCGAAAAAACUACUUAAAAAUUGUAGGCCAACAAUGAAUGGCUAAAAUAUUUUACGAGAAGCUGUUUCAUGACAAAAUAAAGCUAGAAAAUUUAA